AUGAUGGCGAACCACAAGCCGCUCGUGUGUGCAGUGCCUCUAACUGCCCGCCCCAAGUCGGUGGAGGUCAAGCUCUUCAAAGGCUUCUACGACGUGCGUGUCCAGGGCGUGGGCGGCGAGCGCGGCUUCUACCGCAUCCCCAUGAACCCCGCCGGCUCGCCCAAGCUCAUCGUCGCCAACCUCGCCACCUGCUCCAUCGGCUUCCUCGACAGGGUGGCGACGGUGGAGCCUUCCCACACGCCCUUCACGGACGCCGAGGUCAUCUGCAACGACUUCCGUGGCCGCGCCUUCACCCCGGGCUACGACGGCGAAGACCAGGUCAUGCAAGCCGUGGAGCGCUUCGACAAUGGCCUUCCACCCAUCCUUGACACGCUGCCGCUGCCUAUCACCGGCGUCGUCCAGGAGGGGCAGCCCGAGCCCCCGCAGCUAUCUCCUCCACCCCUCGGCAUGCCCGUCAACCUCCCUCCCCGGGCUGCUUCACCGAAGAUCUUCUACACCCGCCGCAGUGCAUGUAUCAAGGAGGGUGAGAACCCAAACCGCAUGACAAUGCUCGAGAAGGCCACCAUCAGAAAGAAGCUCAACCUGGAGGGCAAAACGGCUGUCUCGAGCUCGGCGCUCCUGCUGCCCGCGGCUAAGCUGCUGGAGCUCGCUGCGGACGGCAGGCCCCGUGCAGCUGGCCAUUGCUUGCGGCGUCUCCGAGCUCGACCUCAACUCGAUGCCUGCCUGUGA
rnacentral:rRNA from 1 species